ensembl:lncRNA
CAAGCGAGCAAAUACCUCGCAGAGACGAACUUUUGAUCGCGCGAGACAGACUUUUGCUCGCGGAUGUUUGACUUUGGUUAAAUUCUUAAGGUCAUUUAAUCAUUAUGUUUUGAUCAGAGUUGUGAUUAAAGGUUUGGGUGGGCCGCGAAAGAUUUUCAGAUUUCAAAUUGGGCUGCGGCAAUCUUGAGUUUGGGAAACGCUGGUCUAUGGAAAAGAGAACUAUGACCGGGUACUUUAACAUUAACAAAUGUAUGUAUCUUUAAGAUAACUAGGGUGUAAUUUGGAUAGGGGGUGGAUGUAGUGAUCAAUAUAUUCGGUGAUGUUGAAGGGCUCGGAACCGCAAUCGCUGACUAUAGGGCGGCCAGAACAACAAAGGGAACCGUCCAGGUCCCAGGAGUCUUAUGGAUUUUAGGGAGCAGAUAGAAGAGGCGGGGUUUGGGUUCAUCCGGGCCGUCCAAGUAUUGUUUUUGGUUAGGAUGGGAAUAAGGCUCUGGAGAGGGCUCUGGGGCAGAGUCAGAGACAGCGCCGUGGUCCGAGUGGGAUCCCCCACUUCACCAAUGAGGUCUGAGAACGCUUGCCGGUUGGCUUCUGUUGGUGAAACCUGAGCUCCUCUAUUCAACGGCUUUAUAAAACUAGAAAUGGAGCAGCUCGGUACAGGUACAACAUACCUGUUGUGUCAAACUCCCACACCCAGUCAUUCAUCCUCUGCUUGGAUCAGCGCCUCUUAUCCCGAUCCUGCCAUGCAAAGUACUUUAAAAUAUGCAACCAGUAUAUAUGAAAAAUCAACAGAAGCAUAUUUACCCAAUCAAAGAAAUGGAGAUUUCCCCACACUAUGUGGGUCCAGCAACACUCUGGCCACCCAACAGGAGACUGGCAUUCCCUGGAAAAGUGCCACUUUCCCUUUGAUAGGAGCACAGCCUUGAAUUCAGAGCGCCACCCCAUGGUGCCACCUGCUACACAUGGCAUAAACCGGUCCGGACUAUGCCCUUCACACAGUUAAAAUACAGUCUUCUUAUCUGCUUCAUGCUAUGUUCCCUCAGCAGUGCCCCCCAUCAGACCAGGGGUACCACUGCUGCUGAUGUCCCUCUUCGCUCUGUGAAUGUAAAAGGGUGUAAAAACACCCUAAUAAAACGGAGCAGCACAUUUAACUUUAAAACAUUAGAAUAAAUUAAAAACAGCAGUAUACAGUCCCAGGUUGUUUGCACGUCUCUCCAUACAAAACCAUCCGGAGCUCUAUGCUGAGGAACUCGUCAGUAAUGAACAGAGGGACAUCUGACAAUACUAUUUUUGUUGCUGGUUGUGAAAAUGCAACACCUGAACAAACAAUUAAUUCACCGUGCAACAUGUGCAGCAUCAUCGGGAAAUGAUCUUCCAGGCGGCUCACUAUAACCCGAUGGCUGGCCACAUGGGAUACGAAAAAACGCUAGACCAGAUAAUGACCCGAUUUUAUUGGCCAGGCAUCCGGCGGGACGUGCGCUGCGCUUCCUGCCCGGAGUGUCAGUUAGUGAACGCUCCGGCCGUUCCGAGGGCGCCGCUGCGUCCUCUGCCGUUGGUGGAGGUUCCGUUCGAGCGGAUCGGCAUGGACCUCAUCAGGCCGUUUCACCGGAGCGCACGCGGAUAUCGCUUUGUGUUAGUCCUCAUGGAUUACGCAACGCGAUAUCUGGAGGCAGUGCCAUUGCGCAAUAUCUCUGCAAAGAGUGUCGCGCAGGCUCUGUUUCAGGUCAUCUCCCGAGUUGGAAUCCCUAAAGAGAUUCUGACUGACCAGGGCACCUCGUUCAUGUCGCGCACACAGAGAACUUUACGGGUUACUGGGCAUUAAGUCCAUUCGUACUAGCGUGUAUCACCCGCAGACGGAUGGGCUGGUGGAACGUAUGAAUAAGACUCUGAAGUCCAUGAUCCGUAAAUUUAUUAGCGAAGAUGAACGUAAUUGGGACCACUGGCUUGACCCUCUGUUGUUUGCAGUGCGGGAGGUCCCCCAGGCCUCCACGGGAUUUUCUCCCUUUGAACUUUUGUUUGGCAGGACGCCACGAGGGGUGCUGGACCUUAUUAAAGAAAGCUGGGAGGAAGGUCCAAGCCCCUGCAAGAAUGAGAUCCAGUACGUCCUGGACCUGCGAGCGAAACUCCACACACUGGGCCGGAUGUCAAGAGAGAAUUUGCUGCAGGCCCAGGAGCGACAACAAGGGCUGUACGACAGAGGGGCCAGGCUGCGACGAUUUACACCGGGAGAAAAGGUGGGGGACGUCGACUACGAGGUGGUGCGGUCUUGACAGGGGCGGGGGUAUACAGAUAUACCACCUGCACCCCCUGAAAGCCUGGAGGGGGGUGGAUUCUGUCUCUCUGGUCUCUACGGUAUCAGAAAGGGAGGAGCUGGGGCCGGAGGUUCCAAAAGCAGGCCGGACCGACCUCAUAGUACACAGUUUCGAGACGCCCCCGGAUGUGACGGUGAGGUCACGAUCCUACAGGUUGCCCGAACACAAGAAAGAAGUGCUUCGGAGGGAAUUGGCGAGUAUGUUGGAGUUGGGGGUAAUAGAAGAGUCCAACAGUGCCUGGUGCAGCCCCAUCGUCCUUGUGGCAAAGAAGGAUGGAUCUGUACGGUUCUGCGUGGACUAUCGCAGGGUGACUGACGUGUCACGGUUCGAUGCCUACCCAAUGCCCCGGGUCGACGAGCUCCUGGACCGGCCAAGCACUGCACGUUUCUUCACGACACUGGAUUUAACCAAGGGCUACUGGCAGAUUCCUCUGUCACCAGAGUCCAAGUAGAAAUCGGCAUUCUCCACCCCGUACGGUUUGUACCACACUUCCCUUCAGGUUGUUUGGGACCCCGGCCACGUUUCAGCGCCUCAUGGAUCGGGUGCAUUCUACCUGAAUGGAGAAUGGUUUAACGUGCUCUCACAGACCUUUGAUCAAAGGAGCAUUGUGUGUUACCCUCAUCUUCACCUGAGUUCUUAUCUCAACCUGAUUUAUGGCUUCUCGUAACUGGCACUGAGGAUGGUCUUCAUGUGUAUAAAAACUCGUUUUUGCUGCUCGGAGACACCAUUACACAGAACGCUGGAAUAUGUGCUGGUGUGUUUGACCUCCUCCUUGCAAGCAACAGUUAGAGACUGAUAUCUGCGGAAAAUUGCUCAUGUAAUCUUUUUCUCUUCUAAAUAAAUGUUAACUUUGUGACUUUAAUUGAUUAACGUGCUGCGAUCCUUCUCAUCAACCAACUCGGGGGGGAUUGGAGAUCCCGACACUCUAAGAUCAAUGAGAGGGAUACCUUGUUCACGAGCCCAGGCCUCAUCCACAAAACUUCCUUCGGCACCAGAGUUAAUCAAAGCCAGGCAGGAGAUGGCGGAGCCCAGCCACCGUAGAUGGAAGGAAAAGGUAGUGCAGGUGCGUGACAGGGGCGUCUAAGGAGGAUGCACUCACUAGUAACCCCCUCUCUACUGGUGAACUCUGGCUUUUACCGGGCAGGCUGAGAAGAAAUGGGAAGGUGAUCGACAGUAUAUACAAAGACGUCCGGUGAUGCAGCGUUGGCGUUCCGCAGCGGAGAUCCGUAACCCUCCUAGCUGCAUGGGCUCCGAAUCAGCGCUGGCGGAGGGUGACGGAGAGGAAGGCGCAGAGGGAAGUGACCCCUUCAGGUUGCAGGCUCUGCGGCGUAGUUCGAAGUGCUUCUCGACGCAGAUCACCAUGUCAAUGGGGGGGGUCAAGUCGAGAAGGAAUCUCGCGGGCUAAAACCUCAUCCUUAAUCUCUGCAUUCAAUCCCUCCAGAAAUUGUGCCACCAGAGCGGGUUCGUUCCAGUCGCAGGAAGUCGCUAACGUGUGAAAUUCAAGUUGGCGGUCAAUCUCUUUCCCCGACAAAGAGGAGUCGAGAGGCUUCAGCCCCGUGUGCGGAAUGGUCGAAAACUCUUGACAUCUCCUCCUUGAAGAGCACAUAACGGUCGAGGCAGUCGACGUCCGAACUCCAGACAGCAGUUCCCACUCACGCGCCCGGCCGGUGAGAAGAGAGACCACGAAGGCGAUGCGGGAUCGGUCACUGGCGUACCUCGAGGGCUGAAGUGAAAAAACUUCCGACAUUCUGUCGGCUCACCCGCAUAGCAUGGAGGAUUGUUCACUCUGGGUUCCGGCGCGUCGAGGUUCCGGGCCGAGGGGGGGAUCACGAACACAAAGGUGAAGAAGCUGCUGAGACAAGUUGGUCACCUGAGCCGCGAGAGAUUCAACAGCCUGAUGAGUGGCGGCUAGCUCACCCUCAUGACUUCCCAGCAUAGUUUCCUGUAGCUCGAGGGCAGACUGGAACUGGUUCUCCCUUGCUGGAACCAUGGUGGCCAGAGUAUUCUGUCGUGUUUGUGAAGGAGAGAGGACCCAAACGCAAGGGAAGCUAACGUCUGUUUUAAUCAACUUAGAAUGUCCAAGGCAAAAAAUGGAACUAAGGUAGCCAGUCUUUGGAACACAGACCAACAUUAGAUCUUCUCAUCCUUUGACCUCUUUUUACCUCAGUUUACAUUCAGGAUUAAAGUGUGACAAAUAAUGAUUAUAUAUAAAGAAACCAAAAGUCCAGCAUUAAAUACAUCUGUAAUAACCUACGUAAACACAGUUAAAUAUAAGUAAAUCUAUGGUUUAAAUACAUGUAUUCGCACGUUUACUCUGCGUCUCCUUGAACUGUCUCUGUUCUGCCUUCACUGACACAAUGCGUGGAAAAUAAAUAUCUGAUUCAAGAG